rnacentral:misc_RNA from 1 species
GAUGAAGAACGUAGCGAAAUGCGAUAAGUAAUGUGAAUUGCAGAAUUCAGUGAAUCAUCGAAUCUUUGAACGCACAUUGCGCCCGUCAGUAUUCUGGCGGGCAUGCCUGUUCGAGCGUCAUUACGCCCCUCAAGUCCCCUGUGGACUUGGUGUUGGGGAUCGGCGAGGCUGGUUUUCCAGCACAGCCGUCCCUUAAAUUAAUUGGCGGUCUCGCUGUAGCUUCCUAUGCGUAGUAGUAACAUCUCGCAUCUGGAGAGCGGCGCGGUCAUGCCGUAAAACACCCAACUUCUCAGGUUGACCUCAGAUCAGGUAGGAAUACCCGCUGAACUUAAGCAUAUCAAUAAGCGGAGGA